CCUACGGGCGGCAGCAGUGAGGAAUAUUGCUCAAUGGACGAGAGUCUGAACCAGCCAAGUAGCGUGAAGGAUGACUGCCCUAUGGGUUGUAAACUUCUUUUAUAUGGGAAUAAAACGUUCCACGUGUGGGAUUUUGUAUGUACCAUAUGAAUAAGGAUCGGCUAACCCCGUGCCAGCAGCCGCGGUAAUACGGAGGAUCCGAGCGUUAUCCGGAUUUAUUGGGUUUAAAGGGAGCGUAGGUGGAUUGUUAAGUCAGUUGUGAAAGUGUGCGGCUCAACCGUAAAAUUGCAGUUGAAACUGGCAGUCUUGAGUACAGUAGAGGUGGGCGGAAUUCGUGGUGUAGCGGUGAAAUGCUUAGAUAUCACGAAGAACUCCGAUUGCGAAGGCAGUUCACUGGACUGCAACUGACACUGAGGCUCGAAAGUGGGGGUAUCAAACAGGAUUAGAUACCCCAGUAGUC
rnacentral:rRNA from 1 species